CUGCCCAUUUCCACUGCAUAGCACUGGGCAGGAUGCUAUGGACAGACAAUAAAAAUCAAAUUAAAACAAAUGGCAAAUAAUUUCAAAAAGAAGCACGAGUCCAGCAUUUAAUUUACAUUCUUCAUACACGGUCUUCACCGGGCAAAGUCAGGUGACUCUCAAGGCCACCCAGAUACAGGAUUUCUUCCCUGUGAUAAAGGAAAGAAGAGGAAGAUAACAAGCUCAAGCUGUGGCAUGAUGGAUUCCAGGAUUAAGCAUUUUCAGAGCUAAAUUUGGAAACUGCUAGGCAGAGUUGGAUGGGAUGAAACACAGAACAGGUUGCCCAAGGAAGCAGAGGGCAUCAAGGACCAGACCUCAACCUCUGCGACCACAGCUUUUUGCAAUCACUGCUCUCCAAGCUUUCUUUAGCUCCUUUCAGAUGAUGCCUUCUCCUUAUUCCAUUCUCCACACCAGCCACAUUAUUCUCCUUUUGUCCUCUGUUCUGAUUUUGCCAAGGAAGAUGCUGAUUUCAGUCCCUCAGAAUUUUCCUGUUCGCUCUGCCUUGAAAGUUCUCGCUUAAGUCCUGUUCUCUUUCAUUUUAUUUUGCUGAAACUCCACUGCAAGGACAUAUAUUCAACACAGACUGCUCUUGUUCACUGUUGCACAUCAGCCUUAGGCACUAACAGGGGAUAGUCUGCAGUUCUUUUCAACAAGAAAAAAGAAUACCUGCCUUUAACCAGGGAGAGGUUGCUGAGAAAGACUUGCAUGUUUACUGACAAGACAGCUGAUCACUCAGUAAAAGAUCAGAUAAAUUACUGGCCAUCUGCAGUGAGACUGACACUCCACAGAGCCUUCUGUGGAGAACACCUUCAGCAUCACCUGGAAAGCACUGCUACAAAUGUCAAGGCAAUGAACUUGAAAAGGCCACGUCCCAUGUCCAAGAAAACCUUCAAAAAGCCUAUGGAAUACACCUCUGGUGACUUGCUCUCAUUUAUUUUGUUUUAAAU